CAUGAAUACAGUUUUAUUGGAACCCAGCCGUCCUCAUUUGCUUGUGUAUUGUCCAUGGCUGCUUUGAUGCUACAAGGGCAGAGGUGAGUGCUUAUGACAGAGUCUAUACGGCCCACCACGCCUGAAAUAUUUACUAUCUGGCUCUUUACAGAACUUUGCUAACCCUGGUUUAGAUAGUUCCUGCUCCCACCAUGCCACCACUCUCUCUCUCUCUCUCCUUUUUUUUUUUUUUUUUAAAGAUUUUAUUUUUUCCUUUUUCUCCCCAAAGCCCCCCAGUACAUAGUUGUAUAUUCUUCGUUGUGGGUCCUUCUAGUUGUAGCAUGUGGGACGCUGCCUCAGCGUGGUUUGAUGAGCAGUGCCAUGUCCGUGCCCAGGAUUCGAACCAACGAAACACUGGGCCGCCUGCAGCGGAGUGCACAGACUUAACCACUCGGCCACGGGGCCAGCCCCUCUCUCUCUUUCCUUUUUGUUUCCACUUCCCUACCACCCCCUUUACCACCAAGGAAGGAAAGCAGGAAGGUGGCCGUGUGGAGUUGCAGGUCGCACUCAAAGUGAGCGAGGCUUCCUGCCUUUAAAUGUGGUUGUGACACCUGGUACUGCAGCAACCAUCCUGCGCUCGUGAGGUGACAGACACAAAAACCAACAGUCAAUAUGCAGAAGAUGACAGAGUGGAAAGGGCAUGGGCCUUUGACAACAUUGUGGAGGAGCCACACUAAACAUGGAAUGUAUAUGAAAUGAUUAGAGGUCUUCAUUGCUUAAGCCAGCGUGAGUUGAGCACUCUGUUGCUUGCAUCUCAACACAUCCUAGCUGAUAACAUUUUUCGUAAGAGAGAAGAGGGCGUUGGUGGCUGCUAAGCAACUGAGAAUAUCCUUAAGAGGCCAUGUUAAUAAUUUGGGUCUUUGGUCUAAGAACAGGCAGGGUUGUGUUUUUAAAAGAUUGGAGAGUAGAUUGGAGGGGGGAGACAGUGCCUGUGCAGAGAAAGGGCAGGAGGUGAUUAUGGUAUCCAGGAGAGAGAGAACAUACAGCAUACAGCGGAUUGUCUAGGGUUUGGGGCAGCAGAAGGCAGGACUUGAGGCAUGGGAGUUAGAAAAGCAGAGGGAGGUAAGCAACUGGGGUCAGGAGCAGUGGGAGAGUGGAAGCAGUGAAGUGGGAACCCUCCAGGAAAGCGUUCCUAACCUUGUGACAGUGAUUCAGCGUCUGUUUCUCUUUCCUGAACAUGUUUGAGUUGAGUGGAAACAUGUAUGUCCUAUAACCCUUUGCUUUUGAGCAGUUCUGUUUAGAAGCUUUCAAACACUUUGUUUCAUUUUGUUUUUGUGCAAAUUAUAUAAGUGUCUUCAAGUGGUUUCUCCGUGAGUGCUGCGUGAAUGAAUUGGAAAGGUAAAAUCGAGGGUGAAUUCUUCCUUAUCGCUUGAUUUGUACUAAUGUUGUCAUGUAUAUGUAAUCAAUUAUCAUUUAAAAAUAAAACAUAAAAUGUUUAAGAAGAUGCUUUUGAU
rnacentral:lncRNA from 1 species